rnacentral:lncRNA from 1 species
ACUGAUGCCUCAGACCUUGUCGGGCCAAUAGGUCUCCUACAGGAGGCCCACAAUACAACUGACCAGAAAGAUAGGGUCUAUGAGCAGAUCCCAGCCUGCCAGGGUGACCCUGCCAGGCUCCUGGCUCCUGGCGCCAAUCCCAUGUAUUGUACACUGUCACCGCCCAUGAACAGUGGCAAUGAGAGGAUCUCAAGGCCCCCAGAGGUAGACAAUAUCUACGAGCAAAUCCCAGCAGCCAAGAGCAAGGAGCCUGGACAGACACAUAAGCCUGACAAGCUCCGGAGGAUCUUCUUUGCAGACAAGAAGCACAGAUACUGAAGAGGGCCUGGCCCCAGAUUCCCUGGUCACUGAAGCCCUCCACUCCCUCAAAGGUAUCCUGGAAUCUUCAACCCAACAAAACACUGCGGAUCAGGCUCAGAGAUGCAGCUUGGGUGCCUGCCUAGAGGGACCUCCCUCAGCCUUUACGCCUAUGCGUCCCACUCCCUGGUGUCUCCAUGCAGAGGACAAAAAAGCCAUGAAACAAGGACCAGCCGUAAGGAGCAGCAUCCUGCUUCUUAGAAGAGAGAGCCAAGACUGGUGCUUGGAGUUCACUGACAGGUGCUAGGCCUGAGCUGGGACGAACACCUUCUUAAUGGACAGGGGACAUUAUGC